UACGUAGGGGGCGAGCGUUGUCCGGAUUUAUUGGGCGUAAAAGGCUUGUAGGUGGCCACGUCAAGUCGGAUGUGAAAUCUCCCGGCUCAACUGGGAGGGGUCAUUCGAUACUGGCGGGCUCGAGGCCGGUGAGGGGAAGCGGAAUUCCCGGUGUAGUGGUGGAAUGCGUAGAUAUCGGGAGGAACACCAGUGGCGAAGGCGGCUUCCUGGACCGGUUCUGACA
rnacentral:rRNA from 1 species